rnacentral:lncRNA from 1 species
UCCUUCUUAUUCUCUCCCUUUUUCUUUUCUGCCUCCAUGUUUACUCCUUGAUUUUUCAUUCUUAUCAGACCUUUUGCUUCUUUUCUUUCGUUCUGUUUUUCUUUCUUUUUCAAUUUUUCAAUGAAAAUAUAGCUAUUAUUAUCAAAAUAUCAUAUAACUUUUAAUAUUUUCCCAUCCUCACUUAAUCACUCUCCUCUUUAACUCACC